CUAAGAAUAUUCCGCAAUGGACGAAAGUCUGACGGAGCGACGCCGCGUGGAUGAAGAAGGCCGGAAGGUUGUAAAAUCCUUUUGCUGAUGAAGAAUAAGUGUGGUAGGGAAUGACCGCAUGAUGACAUUAGUCGGUGAAUAAGCCCCGGCUAACUACGUGCCAGCAGCCGCGGUAACACGUAGGGGGCAAGCGUUGUUCGGAAUUAUUGGGCGUAAAGGGCAUGUAGGCGGUUUCGUAAGCCUGGUGUGAAAUCCUGCAGCUUAACUGCAGAAUUGCAUUGGGUACUGCGAGACUUGAAUCACAGAGGGGAAACUAGAAUUCCAGGUGUAGGGGUGGAAUCUGUAGAUAUCUGGAAGAAUACCGGUGGCGAAGGCGGGUUUCUAGCUGAUGAUUGACGCUGAGGUGCGAAAGUGCGGGGAGCAAACAGG
rnacentral:rRNA from 1 species